AGGUACCGCCUGUCUGACCUUCCAACCCCCGAAGGGAAAACCAGCACCAAAGACCAAGUAUUAGAAUCAUUGAAAUACUUGGUCCUUGGUUGCGAGAAUUUCGAUUAGUGUUGCCGAUCGAUAGACAACUAUCCUAUAUAUUAAGAUAUAUGUAGAAGUGAGGAUCGCGACCACAGGUUAUGGUUUUCCACUUGGUACGGCUAUAUGCUGCGUGCACCGCCCUCUGUAUGCUGCCGCCCACCGUCUUCUUCACGAUGUCAGAUCACCUCGUAGGCGCCCUUCCUCGCGCACGUUUGCCAUCUAUUUGCCCAAAGAUGAUCUGCUUCUCCAGACUGUGCUUCGGAGACCGCAUAAUAUGUCCGAAGAAGCUUAGGACACGAUUCCGGCAUAUUGAGGAGAGCCGCGUCGUGAUCUUGAGCUCUUUUAAUAUGGACUCAUUCGUACACGUAAAUAGCCUUAAAUUACCAAGUAGAGAAAGUCCAGCAUGAGGUGAGCACGAAGUUUUGAAGACAGGAGUGAUUGUAUUAGAUUUCCUCCUGAGCAGUUGCACUACAAAUUUAGUGAUGAAGAGGCAAUACUUGACAGAAACCUUAAGUGGGAUGACAUAAUUAUAAAGAAAAUCAAUAAGAGGAUGAACUCUUUUAAUGUUUAUAAAACAAUAGUAUGGAAGAAUUUUGAUGCAUCUUGGAGCAAUGGCAACAUAUUUGGGAGUUGUGAGUGACAACGAGCAGAUUACAUAACAAUGGGAGGAUAACAAGGGCCUUAACUGAAAAAACUGGUGAAUGUUCCCAAAUAAACCUCACAGAUGUAGAAGAAACACAAAAUAAAUUUGUUUAUUUU